GCGGUCAUGGUGGAAUUGGUAGACACGCAAGCUUGAGGUGCUUGUUGCUUAACCGCAGUGGAAGUUCAAGUCUUCUUGGCCGCACCA
rnacentral:tRNA from 1 species